AUACGUAGGGUGCAAGCGUUGUUCGGAAUCACUGGGCGUAAAGGGCGCGCAGGCGGUUUGGUAAGUCAGAUGUGAAAGCCCACGGCUCAACCGUGGAAGUGCAUUUGAAACUGCCAGACUUGAGUACCAGAGGGGAAAGUGGAAUUCCCGGUGUAGAGGUGAAAUUCGUAGAUAUCGGGAGGAAUACCGGUGGCGAAGGCGACUUUCUGGCUGGAUACUGACGCUGAGGCGCGAAAGCGUGGGGAGCAAACAGGAUUAGAUACCCCAGUAGUCC
rnacentral:rRNA from 1 species